UACGUAGGGGGCGAGCGUUGUCCGGAAUGAUUGGGCGUAAAGGGCGUGUAGGCGGCCUGUUAAGUCUGGAGUGAAAGUCCAAGUUUCAAGCUUGGAAUUGCUUUGGAUACUGGGAGGCUGGAGUGCAGGAGAGGUUAUCGGAAUUCCCGGUGUAGCGGUGAAAUGCGUAGAGAUCGGGAGGAACACCAGUGGCGAAGGCGGGUAACUGGACUGCAACUGACGCUGAGGCGCGAAAGUGUGGGGAG
rnacentral:rRNA from 1 species